UGAGGAAUAUUGGUCAAUGGGCGCAGGCCUGAACCAGCCAAGUAGCGUGAAGGAUGACUGCCCUAUGGGUUGUAAACUUCUUUUAUAUGGGAAUAAAGUUUUCCACGUGUGGAACUUUGUAUGUACCAUAUGAAUAAGGAUCGGCUAACUCCGUGCCAGCAGCCGCGGUAAUACGGAGGAUCCGAGCGUUAUCCGGAUUUAUUGGGUUUAAAGGGAGCGUAGGUGGACAGUUAAGUCAGUUGUGAAAGUUUGCGGCUCAACCGUAAAAUUGCAGUUGAUACUGGCUGUCUUGAGUACAGUAGAGGUGGGCGGAAUUCGUGGUGUAGCGGUGAAAUGCUUAGAUAUCACGAAGAACUCCGAUUGCGAAGGCAGCUCACUGGACUGCAACUGACACUGAUGCUCGAAAGUGUGGGUAUCAAACAGG
rnacentral:rRNA from 1 species